rnacentral:piRNA from 1 species
UGAGAGUCAUAGGUAUCUCAUUGGUGUCUU